UGGGGGAUAUUGCACAAUGGGCGAAAGCCUGAUGCAGCGACGCCGCGUGGGGGAUGAAGGCCUUCGGGUUGUAAACUUCUUUUGCUCUGAACACGGCAUGCCUUUGGGGUGUGUUGAGUGUAGGGGUUGAUUAGUGCCGGCUAACUACGUGCCAGCAGCCGCGGUAAUACGUCGGGCGCGAGCGUUGUCCGGAAUUAUUGGGCGUAAAGGGCUUGUAGGUGGCUGGUUGCGUCUGUCGUGAAAGCUCAUGGCUUAACUGUGGGUUUGCGGUGGGUACGGGCUGGCUUGAGUGCAGUAGGGGAGGCUGGAAUUACUGGUGUAGCGGUGGAAUGCGCAGAUAUCAGGAGGAAUAACGGUGGCGAAGGCGGGUCUCUGGGCUGUUACUGACGCUAAGGAGCGAAAGCGUGAGGAGUGAACAGG
rnacentral:rRNA from 1 species